CCGAGCUCUCACUACAGUGUGAGGCAGGCAGACCGGGCAGUGGGAACAAAAUUCCUUUCGAGUUCACUCGAAUUCUGCAAGGAUUUUACAGCAUGUCCUCAAAUAACAACGUUUAACACUGAUGAGAUGCCAUAGGAACUUUUCACAUCAAUUGACCUGUGGCAAAACUGGUUUCAUGAUACAAUUGACACUUAAACAUGGGUUUGAACUGUGUGGGUCCACUUAUACACAGUUUCCCCAAAAACCAUAUAGUCGGCCUUCCUAUCCAGGGGUUUCAAAUCGAAGGAUUCAACCACCUCUGGAUCAAAAAUAGUAUUUUCAAUCCAUAGCAGGGGAUUCCUGGAAGUUGAGGGCCGACUGUCUGCAGUUGUAUGCUGUUUUACUUACUGGUUUUUAGAGAGAGAGGGAGGGACAAAGAAACAUUGAUUUGUUCCACUUAUUUAUAGGUAUUCACGGGCUGAUUCUUGUAUGUGCCCUGAUGGGGAUCCAACCUUCAAUCUUGGCAUCUGGACCAUGCUCCAACCACUGGACUUGCAGACACCAGGGGAAGACAAUUGUUUGGGAGUUGUUAUUUGUGUUGGGCUCACACCCCUAAAACCCUCUGGUUCAAGGCCAACUGUACCUUCUUUUGCUUAAUGUUGCAGAACCCACUGAGGAGAAUAAGUGAGGUCUUAUUGUAUACCCAUACUUUGCUAUACAACAUUUGACAUUAAGAACUUUGG